AAGUCGCAAGACCGCGAGGUUUAGCAAAUCUCUUAAAGCCGUUCUCAGUUCGGAUCGGAGUCUGCAACCCGACUCCGUGAAGCUGGAUUCGCUAGUAAUCGCGCAUCAGCCAUGGCGCGGUGAAUACGUUCCCGGGUCUUGUACACACCGCCCGUCACACCGUGGGAGUCGGAAAUGCCCGAAGUCUGUGACCCAACCAUUAAGGAGGGAGCAGCCGAAGGCAGGUCGGAUGACUGGGGUGAAGUCGUAACAAGGUAUC
rnacentral:rRNA from 1 species